rnacentral:rRNA from 1 species
GAGGCAUGCAAGGGCUGUCGCUGACUUGAAGUCGUGCACGCCGGAGCGUGUCCUCUCACAUAAAAUCCAUCUCACCCUUUUGUGCACCACCGCGUGGGCACCCUUCGGGAUCGAACCGAUUCAGGAGGGGGCUUGCGUUUUCACACAAACCCCAUUUUAAAAGUGUAGAAUGUCUCUAUUUUUGCGAUGACACGCAAUCAAUACAACUUUCAACAACGGAUCUCUUGGCUCUCGCAUCGAUGAAGAACGCAGCGAAAUGCGAUACGUAAUGUGAAUUGCAGAAUUCAGUGAAUCAUCGAAUCUUUGAACGCACCUUGCGCCCCUUGGUAUUCCGAGGGGCACACCCGUUUGAGUGUCGUGAAAAUCUCAACCUUCUCGGUUUCUUCUGGACACCGAAGGAGGCUUGGACUUUGGAGGCCUUUGCUGGCGUCUCUUUUGAAGGCCAGCUCCUCUCAAAUGAAUUAGCGGGGUCCUCUUUGCCGAUCCUCGACGUGUGAUAGANGUUUCCAUGUCUUGNUUCUGGCUCUGUUGCCUUUGGGACCCGCUUCUACCGUCUCAACCGAGA